UUCCUAUCGAAGACUCGAGGUUGUGAGUGAUAGUCCUGCUGCUGCUGACUUCAAAGAGAGAUGGCCUGCUUUGUUUUGUGAAUCCGAGGUAGGUGAAUCUAUAAAGCCUUAAACAUUUCACUUGCUUUAUUGAGCUGUUAUAAUAAUUAAUUUUCUUUUCGAACAUGUAAAUUUAUAUAAAAAUAUUGAUGUACUUGUAAAUCUUUUGUCCAUUCAGAUCAAGGAGAAAUUCAGGAGAAUAACUACCAUUCCCCUGGAGCGAACCUUCAUGCACAAACUUGAUGAAUACAUACCAAAACUUAUUACGCUGAUGAUCAGAUGAGGCAGAUGAGGCCGCUCCUGGACAGACUGAGUCAGAAACAGAGCAUUGAGAUGAGGCGUGAAACCGUUAUCCGCAGCCUUAUACUGUACCUUGGCGAGAAGGAAGAGGAACUUUUUGUUUUUUGUUUUCCGAAAACUCUUGCUGGAGCUGGAUGGCUUUAAACUGUCCCCAAAAGUAAACACCUUGAAGUUGAAGUUGCUUUCCUAAAUGCAUGUCAUGACUUUGUCAUCCUAGAGGAGAAAAAUGUGGCAUCAUGCAUGGACCCUUGUUGAGGACGUAGCAUCAUGCAUGGACCCUUGUGAAGAAAUGCCAAGAAUUAGUGUUCCAGUUCAUCUUGGUUUACUAGUGGGAAGUUGCCUGUCAUAAAUGUUUUUAAUUUUUUGUCAAAUAAGGUAUCUGUUAAUUACAGUAAAGAUUUUAUUCUUCAUCUAGAAUGGUUAGACACCUUAAGCUGUUAAUUUUUAAUUUAUUCUGUUGAUUUUAUUAAUGUUUUAAUUGCAUUCUUAAAAGUGCACUAGUCUAGAGGACUGGUUUAAAUGUUGAAAUUGCACUGUUUCAGAGUGUAGGUUUGUAAGAUUUUAAUUGCAUAUUUGAGAAGUGACUAUGUUACCAGAUCUAUGUUGGAUGUGGUGUAUAAUGUGUAAUACUGUGUAUUUGUUGUUUACCAGUCAUACCAACCUUUCAGUAGUAUGAUAUAAAUUUGGAUAUUUUUCUUUAAAAAAUAUAUUUAGUCUUACUUUACCUUUACCUUUUGCUAGAGAUAUAUCUUUAAUUUACUGUUCGUACAUAUUAAUGCAAUACAAUAUAAUGCACGUUUACUUUUAAUGCAGUACUUGUACAUUCAGGUAUACAUAAUCCUUACACCACUGGUUAUGCCUGCACUGUUGACGUGUGUGUUCCUGUGUUUCAUUAUUCUACACUUUCAGUUGUUUCUAUCCUGACCCUCUCCCUGAAGUUGUUUAGAGCAUGUUUGUGUGUUUAAAAUGAAAAAUAAACAUUGUAAUUUAGUUGUGUGAUAUGUGAUAAAUAUAUAUUAAAUGCAUAGAGUAUUGGUUAAAUUUAUUUGGUAACAUUUAUCAAAAGAAAACUGGCAAUGAUUACC
rnacentral:lncRNA from 15 species